AGAGGUCUCGAGCGUUAGUCGGAGUCACUGGGCUUAAAGCGUACGUAGGCGGAUAUGCAGGCGUCGUGUGAAAUCCCUUGGCUCAACCAAGGAACUGCACGGCGAACCGCAUGUCUUGAGAUCGGUAGGGGCGGUCGGAACGAUAGGUGGAGUGGUGAAAUGCGUUGAUAUCUAUCGGAACGCCGAAGGUGAAAGCAGGCCGCUGGGCCGAUUCUGACGCUGAGGUACGAAAGCGUGGGGAGCGAACGGGAUUAGAUACCCCGGUAGUCCACGCCGUAAACGAUGUGCACUAGAUCGAGGAGGUUCUGACACCAUUCUCGGUCGAAGUCAAAACGCUGAGUGCACCGCCUGGGGAGUACGGUCGCAAGGCUA
rnacentral:rRNA from 1 species